UCGAAUAGGAUAGUAAAUAAGAGAUAAUAAAUUGAUUCGAGACAAAUUCAGGAAAUUUUUAAAAUUUUGAAAAAUUAGAUUAACUGAAUAAAUUCGGAAAGCAGUAGGCUUCGUCUGUAAAAUGGAACAGUUUUUAGUGAAAUGAAAAUUGCCACCCUCAAGGUCUGGUAGGAAGUCAUGGUGAGGCUCGUUUUUAGAUUAUGCGUGAUAAAAGCGCAGUUUAAAGAGGUUUACGACAAGUGAUCAAUAUAUAGGGUAGAAAUGGGUAUUUUGGUCAACGGUGCGACAUUUUAUGCGUCGAAU
rnacentral:lncRNA from 1 species